rnacentral:misc_RNA from 1 species
UCCUCGUUUAAGCGAGGCAGUCUGUCCAGAGUGCUCCCCCCUCUCGGGGGGGUGGCAACAGGACACAAGGGUUGCGCUCGUUGCGGGACUUAACCCAACAUCUCACGACACGAGCUGACGACAGCCAUGCAGCACCUGUGCGUCCUGGUAUUGCUACCUCGUCGGGCUUUCACCCUCCUACUAAACGCAUGUCAAGGCCAGGUAAGGUUCUUCGCGUUGCAUCGAAUUAAGCCACAUACUCCACCGCUUGUGCAGGCCCCCGUCAAUUUCUUUGAGUUUUAAUCUUGCGACCGUACUUCCCAGGCGGCAUAUUUAUCGCGUUAGCUUCGCCACAAAAGGGGUCGAAUCCUUUUACAGCAAAUAUGCACCGUUUACAGCUAGGACUAC